CCCUGACAGUUACAUAGUGUAACUGACUCUAGCCACGACAGGAGACAAGCAUG
rnacentral:sRNA from 12 species